AAUGGCUACCACAUCCAAGGAUGGCAGCAGGCGCGCAAAUUACCCACUCCCAGCUUGGGGAGGUAGUGACGAAAAAUAACAAUGCGGGACUCUAAGAGGCCCCGUAAUUGGAAUGAGUACACCUUAAAUCGUUUAACGAGUAUCAAUUGGAGGGCAAGUCUGGUGCCAGCAGCCGCGGUAAUUCCAGCUCCAAUAGCGUAUAUUAAAGUUGCUGCAGUUAAAAAGCUCGUAGUUGGAUCUGGGGCUUGAGGUCGCUGUCUAUCGUUUCGGCGAUGACGGUGAUGCUCAGCUCUGCUUGCCGGUGACUGUUGCGGUGUUCUUCACUGAGCGCUGUAGCAGCACGGCACGUUUACUUUGAAAAAAUUAGAGUGCUCAAAGCGUGCUUGUCGCUUGAAUAAUGUUGCAUGGAAUAAUGGAAUAGGACCUCGGUUCUAUUUUGUUGGUUUUCGGAGCUUGAGGUAAUGAUUAAGAGGGACGAACGGGGGCAUUCGUAUUGCGGUGUUAGAGGUGAAAUUCUUGGAUCGCCGCAAGACGGACUACUGCGAAAGCAUUUGCCAAGAACGCUUUCAUUAAUUAAGAACGAAAGUCAGAGGUUCGAAGACGAUCAGACACCGUCCUAGUUCUGACCAUAAACGAUGCCGACCAGCGAUCCGUAGUGGUUGCUUUAUGGACCCUACGGGCAGCCUCCGGGAAACCAAAGUAUUUGGGUUCCGGGGGAAGUAUGGUUGCAAAGCUGAAACUUAAAGGAAUUGACGGAAGGGCACACCAGGAGUGGAGCCUGCGGCUUAAUUUGACCCAACACGGGAAAACUCACCCGGUCCGGACACCGUAAGGAUUGACAGACUGAUAGCUCUUUCUUGAUUCGGUGGAUGGUGGUGCAUGGCCGUUCUUAGUUGGUGGAGUGAUUUGUCUGGUUAAUUCCGAUAACGAACGAGACUCUAGCCUGCUAAGUAGUGUUGCUAUUGUUAUAUGGUUGACACUUCUUAGAGGGACAAGUGGCAUUUAGCCACGCGAAAUUGAGCAAUAACAGGUCUGUGAUGCCCUUAGAUGUCCGGGGCCGCACGCGCGCUACACUGGAGAAGUCAGCGUGUGUUAUCCAAGUCCGAAAGGACUGGGUAAUCCGUUGAACCUUCUUCGUGCUUGGGACUGUGGCUUGGAACUAUUCCACAUGAACGAGGAAUUCCUAGUAAUUGCAAGUCAUAAGCUUGCGUUGAUUACGUCCCUGCCCUUUGUACACACCGCCCGUCGCUACUACCGAUUGAAUGGUUUAGCAAGGUCCUCGGAUCGUGGCCGUAGGGGCACGCAAGUGUUUCUGCGGUUUGCGAGAAGACGACCAAACUUGAUCAUUUAGAGGAAGUAAAAGUCGUAACAAGGUU
rnacentral:rRNA from 1 species